UACGUAGGGGGCAAGCGUUGUCCGGAAUCAUUGGGCGUAAAGAGCGCGUAGGCGGCCCUGUAAGUCCGCUGUGAAAGUCAAGGGCUCAACCCUUGGAUGCCGGUGGAUACUGCAGGGCUAGAGUCCGGAAGAGGCGAGUGGAAUUCCUGGUGUAGCGGUGAAAUUCGUAGAUAUUGGGAAGAACACCGGUGGCGAAGGCGGCGCGCUGGACCGAGACUGACGCUGAGGCGCGAAAGCGUGGGGAGCAAACAGG
rnacentral:rRNA from 1 species